GUACCGUCACACUUCGGGGGUAUUAACCCCGAAGCUUUCUUCCCAAUCUGACAGAGCUUUACAACCCAUAGGGCCUUCUUCGCUCACGCGGCAUCGCUCGGUCAGGCUUUCGCCCAUUGCCGAAGCUUCUCGA
rnacentral:rRNA from 1 species